GAUUUUAACCACUGGAGUAAAACAAUCCUUCUUCGUCAAAAAUUUAAAGAAGAAAACCGAUGAUAGGCGUCAUUAUUGAGUUUUUCACGAAGAACACCAUAAUUGUCACUGGAUUUUUUAUAAUGAUGGUCACAUUUGAUCCAAAAAGGUCAAACCACGUCUAGAUCAAUCGAUUGGUGUGCUUCAGCAGUUGAUGGAUACAUCUAAAAUUGUGAACAGAAGGUCGGCAAUCGAUUGUCGAUUGAAGCUCUCCGUUCUUGAUCACUGUGCGAUAAAUCCCAAGCGCUCUACGACCCCCUCAGGUUUGGUAGCAGGAAACUGGUGUGCCUUGCUGCAAACAGCUGUUCAUUAGAUCAUGGCGAGUUUGUGCACCGAACUACAACUUUUUUCUAUGUUUUGGAUCUCAAAACAAGAUCAACAAGGAAGUGCAAUUGCUCUCUCUUGUUUUUUUUUCUCUCUUUUUUCUCCGUUUCCUUUGUGUGCCAAAAUAUCUUUUAAUAAAAUAAUCUUUUUGUUGUUUAAGAUUGUCAUUUUGAUCAUUGUCAAGGGCCAGUAGAUGCAUGCAGUUGGUUUCAGUCUUUAUCAUUCUUGGCUUAUUCCUCUUAAUUUCACCAUUAACCAGGCCCAAUUAUUGCUUCAUAUUUUAACCUCACUAGGAGAGCUGUGCAGUACUGAUUCUUUUUUACAACUCAACCUUGCACUCCAUCUCUUGUAGCUGCCUCUACUGCAUAAAAUAUUGGAUUUUGGAAUCAUGCAUAUUCAGUAUAAACAAUCUUAUAAACAAUGACUUGAUACAGAUCCAAGAGUUACAGUCAAUAGCUUCCACUAAAGAAUGCUUCAUAUUAUUAACUGUAAGCCUUUAACUAACAAGCCAUCUCUUAUCAUCAUUUUGAUCGAGCAGGCUCUCGCUUCCACGCAAGGGAGGUCUUCUGGCACAAGUAUCAAAUAUGAUCUCUUUUCUCAGGUCUUCGUGGUCUAAUCCCAAAUUGCACAGAGGGAUUUGUGGAACAUACAUAAAAGAUCAGUCUCAGUCAGUUUCUAACACAAGCUUUUUCGAAGAAUGGCCACCAAAACAAAUAUUUAAACAUCUAGUUAACACAAGCAGGUCAAGGGAUCAGGAUCCUCCUAGCUAGGCUUGCAUUCAUUCUAUGAUCGCAACUGAUCAAGCAAAAAAAAGACUUCUUAAGGUAGAAUAGUAAUUAAUAAUCUUACAGUAAUAUUCAGACUAUGCUCUAUAAGCUUAAACUAGCUUAUGGACAAUUACUUACUAUUUUUAACUUGACUAUAAAUCUAGAAAAUUCAUAUCAGAAGCAAUUUGAUUAAAUUAACUCAUUUCUAACUUUCAAUAA